ensembl:lncRNA
AGUUGUUUGGGGGACCAUAGCGCUCAAGAGGAAAGUCUGUUUGGGGACGUUUCCUCCCUGGUAUCAAAGGGAGACACCGGAGACCAAGAGAAGAGACUAGUUAAGCCCUGGGGAGAAGGCAGUUUGGCUGAGGUGAGGGAGGGCGCUCACGGGGACGGUGAGGUGAGGUGGGAAGCGGAGGGCCAGGGGCCCGGCUGGGAAAUUCUGGCGCUUCUCCCCGGCUCACAGAACUCGCCAGCUGGAUCCGCCUCCCCGAUCCCUGGCCAGGGCCGCAGCAGUGACCAACCGUCCCUGGCCAAAGCUGCUCUACCCCGACCGGCAGUGCCCACUCCCCGGGGGACUCCCGGACCCCAGCCAGGAAGAGCAGACACCACGUCUGUGGAGCUAGACAGCCCCCCCACAGCAAGCAGCUUGCACGGUCCAGUCUCCGCGCCCUCCUUCAGUCCCCUUCCCGGGGCCUGCCCCUGCCCCCCACACCUUCACACAGGUCUCCUGUGCAGUAACACACCGGCUCCUUUCCUGGCGGCCGGCUCAGGCCACCUUCGCCUGGGCUCCAGAGGAGGCUUUCAUCGCAGGGCUGGACGGGGGAGGGGCGGAGGGCAGUCGCUGAGAACGUCCAGGUGGGAAUCUGGGGACCAGGUACUGUGGGAAAGGGCUAAAAGACAGGUCGGGGCAACCCUUCAGACCUGGCUCAGCAGCCUGUCUCCAAGAUUGGGGACUCUGGACAACUCUGUGGGCUCCUCCCUGUCCCCGCUCGCAAACGUCCGACGCGGCGCCCCCUCCCCGUCCGCCGCUCCUUUCUACCGCUUUCCCUCCUCCCUCCCAGGUCUUUUCCGUCCUCGGUCUAGGCUCAGGGCCUGCGCCUCUGCAAACACCCCCCUCCCCUCCAACUCCGGCAGGACUCCGAGGGGAGGGGCCGGAGGCCCCCCUUCCCGCCUGUGGUCAGAGGGGUGCAGCGGCGCAGUCCCGGUUUGGGGGGGCAGGGACCAUCUCUGCGCCCCGCCCGAUCAGGCCACUCGGUGCACUAGGGGUGGGGGCGGGAAGCGGGACUCUCGGAGAGGGGGGUCCGGCUUGGGCAGGUGCGGGCACUGGCAGCGCCCAGGCGGGCUCCGGGGGCGGGGGUCUCAGGUUACAGCCCAGCGGGGGGCCGGGGGAGGCCCGCGGUUUGGGCGAGUUCGCCAGCCUCGAAAGGGGCCGGGCGCAUAUAACGGGUGCCGCGGCGGGGAGAAGACGCAGAGCGCUGCUGGGCUGCCGGGUCUCCCGCCUCCUCCUCCUGCUCCAAGGGCCUCCUGCAUGAGGGCGCGGUAG